rnacentral:lncRNA from 1 species
CUAUAUUGGAUGACCAGCUGUCUACCAUGAAGGAAAAGGACUUAUUGUAGGAUUCUAUCCCAUAGAUUGCUGGAGAACUUGGACUAAGGAGUCUGAAAAAGCAACACUUGAUUACAGAUGACAUCAUCAAGUUAUGGGAGAGGAAAAAAAAGAGGUGCAGGGCAGAAUAGAUACACUGGAAAGUCAGAAUUGAAUGAGAGUCAGUGAAGAGAGAAAGAAAUGGACAACACACGAAAAGAAACAUCUUGAGCGAGCAGUCAAGAGGACUUGUCGGAAUGAUCAUAGUCAGUAGGUGGCUAUUGCUGCACUGGUUCUUGUGACAAGAUACCAUCUGAUUUCUUGGAAAGAUUCAGGAUCUCCAGCUGGAUCUGUGAGUGAACUUUUAUAGUCUGUAGGAUAUUACUUAUUAAAAAGUAAACCAGAGAAAGAAAACUAGCUGCUUACAAUAUAAAUAGAUUGCUGCUUAGUGCUGUUUCUGUGAUUUUCCCCCCCCCCCCUCUUUUUAGUGGCUAGGAACUGUCUUCAUUUUCAGAGCACUGGGCAAGGGCCCAAUU